AAAUAUACUCUCAAAUUUGAUUAUUGUGAUAAUUUAUAAAUUUAAAAAAAAAAGUAAAGAGAAGUAAAUCAUAUUUACCACCAACAAUUUACCUUAAAUUAUUUAUCUGUAAUUCUCAUCUCUCUAGCUUCCUCCUUCUCUAUCUGUAAUUCUCAUCUCUCUAGCUUCCUCCUAUGAAAAUAAGGAGGAACUCACAUGACAAGUUGUUUGUUCAAGGAAAGCAUAAUUCGUGUUAGAAAACUUGGACACCAAUUCAACCGAAGCUGAUUUGAAAGUGCCAUGAAUAUAGUUAGAGAAAUGUUGUGGGUUGCAAUGUGAAACAAUAGUAACACCACCAAACCAUUCAUAGUGUACUUAGGUACUUAGCCUUAUGGUGUCAUGUCAUUGGCCCAUUCAUGAGCUGGUAAUCUCUUCUUCUCCACAAAAAUUCAUUUGCAGUUUAAUUUUGGCUCGGCCUCUACAUUAUAACUAUAACUAUUGUUAUUAUGCGGCUCAUAUUUCAGAACUUAUAAAUUAUAUAUGCUUCACCUCACAAUUGGUUUGCAGCAGGCCCGCUCCACCUAGUUCUGUUUUUCCUGUGUCUAAAAUUUGCACUUUAUUUUAUAUUUUAAUGAUUGCUUAAUUGGUUAAUCCAAGUAUCUCACCAGGUUUAUCUAUCCAUUGU